UAGGGAAUAUUGGUCAAUGGAUGGAAGUCUGAACCAGCCAUGCCGCGUGCAGGAAGAAGGCCUUCUGGGUUGUAAACUGCUUUUUGCCAGGGGCUAAAAAGCUCAUGCGUGAGAAAUUGAAAGUACCUGGUGAAUAAGCCACGGCUAACUACGUGCCAGCAGCCGCGGUAAUACGUAGGUGGCAAGCGUUGUCCGGAUUUAUUGGGUUUAAAGGGUGCGUAGGCGGCUUUGUAAGUCAGUGGUGAAAUAUGGCAGCUCAACUGUCAGGGUGCCAAUGAUACUGCGGAGCUUGAGUACAGAUGAGGUAGGCGGAAUUGACGGUGUAGCGGUGAAAUGCUUAGAUAUCGUCAAGAACACCGAUAGCGAAGGCAGCUUACUAGGCUGUAACUGACGCUGAGGCACGAAGUGUGGGGAUCAAACAGGAUUAGAUACCCUGGUAGUCCACACUGUAAACGUUGAUGACUCGCUGUUGG
rnacentral:rRNA from 1 species